rnacentral:rRNA from 1 species
GUUAGGAAUAUUGGACAAUGGGCGCAAGCCUGAUCCAGCCAUGCCGCGUGAGUGAUGAAGGCCUUCGGGUUGUAAAGCUCUUUAGCCGAUGAUUAUAAUGACUGUAGUCGGAAAAUAAGCCCCGGCUAACUUCGUGCCAGCAGCCGCGGUAAUACGAAGGGGGCGAGCGUUAUUCGGAAUCACUGGGCGUAAAGCGUGCGUAGGCGGCUUUGCAAGUUGGGAGUGAAAGCCCAGGGCUCAACCCUGGAAUGGCUCUAAAAGCUGCAAGGGUCGAAUUCGGGAGAGGAUAGCGGAAUUUUCAGUGUAGCAGUGAAAUGCGUAGAUAUUGACAGGAACACCAGUGGCGUAAGCGGCUAUCUGGACCGAUAUUGACGCUGAGGCACGAACGCGUGGGGAUCAAACAGGAUUAGAUACCCUUGUAGUCC